UGGUGGAGUGAUUUGUCUGGUUAAUUCCGUUAACGAACGAGACCUCGACCUGCUAAAUAGUUCGGCGAACUCUUCUGGGUUUGAUUCCGUAACUUCUUAGAGGGACUAUCGGUGCGUAGCCGACGGAAGUUCGAGGCAAUAACA
rnacentral:rRNA from 1 species